rfam:Strigamia maritima strain Brora ctg7180001224083, whole genome shotgun sequence.
UUUUUGUGAAAGACAUGGGUAGUGAGAUGUGAUUUGAGAUAAUCAUCUCACUACCUUGUCUUUCACGGAAAA